rnacentral:rRNA from 1 species
GAUGAACGCUGGCGGCGUGCUUAACACAUGCAAGUCGAACGGAAAGGCUCCUGCUUGCAGGGGUACUCGAGUGGCGAACGGGUGAGUAACACGUGGGUGAUCUGCCCUGCACUUCGGGAUAAGCCUGGGAAACUGGGGCUAAUACCGGAUAGGACCAUCUGUUACUGUCUGGGGUGGAAAGUUUUUUCGGUUUGGGAUGGGCUCGCGGCCUAUCAGCUUGUUGGUGGGGUAGUGGCUUACCAAGGCGUCGACGGGUAGCCGGCCUGAGAGGGUGUCCGGCCACAUUGGGACUGAGGUACGGCCCAGACUCCUACGGGAGGCAGCAGUGGGGAAUAUUGCACAAUGGGCGGAAGCCUGAUGCAGCAACGCCGCGUGGGGGAUGACGGCCUUCGGGUUGUAAACCGCUUUCGCCAGGGACGAAGCGAAAGUGACGGUAACUGGUAAAGAAGCACCGGCUAACUACGUG